GAUGAACGCUGGCGGCGUGCCUAAUACAUGCAAGUCGAGCGAACAGACGAGGAGCUUGCUCCUCUGACGUUAGCGGCGGACGGGUGAGUAACACGUGGAUAACCUACCUAUAAGACUGGGAUAACUUCGGGAAACCGGAGCUAAUACCGGAUAAUAUAUUGAACCGGAUGGUUCAAUAGUGAAAGACGGUUUUGCUGUCACUUAUAGAUGGAUCCGCGCCGGAUUAGCUAGUUGGUAAGGUAACGGCUUACCAAGGCAACGAUGCGUAGCCGACCUGAGAGGGUGAUCGGCCACACUGGAACUGAGACACGGUCCAGACUCCUACGGGAGGCAGCAGUGGGGAAUCUUCCGCAAUGGGCGAAAGCCUGACGCAGCCACGCCGCGUGAGUGAUGAAGGUCUUCGGAUCGUAAAACUCUGUUAUUAGGGAAGAACAACUGUGUAAGUAACUAUGCACGUCUUGACGGUACCUAAUCAGAAAGCCCCGGCUAACUACGUG
rnacentral:rRNA from 1 species